UUUUCUAGGGUUUUUGGAGAUGUCUUCUCUUCCUCCGAUGAUGAAAAUGAAGAUGUGCUUUAAUCCAAGCUGUGAAAGAGACACUAAAUCCGAAACAACGUAUCGAAAAGGAUGGCGUCUCAGAACCGGAGAUUCUGCUCAACUCUGCGAAACAUGUGCUUCAGCUUACGACUCAGGGAGGUUCUGCGAUAUGUUUCACAGUAGUGCUGCUGGUUGGAGGAACUGCGAAUCUUGUGGAAAACGGCUGCACUGCGGAUGCAUUGUUUCUACACAAUCCUUCGUUCUGUUGGAUGCCGGAGGUGUCGAUUGUAUGAGUUGCGCUAGGAAGAACGUCAUGAUGGCGGCGCGAGGAGGAGAGUUCGACUGGCUGCGGAAGAACCCUAAAGCUUAGACAAUUUGUCCGAUCGGAAUGUGUUUGAAUUAGUGGAUCGGAAUGUGUUUAUUUUUCUAAUUUGUAAAAUAAUUAUUCUCUAAGUAGUUUAAUUGGAUUUGAUGUAGAGUAACUAGUUUAAUUGAAUUGAUGUAGAGUAUCGAUUUUAUCAUAAAGCAGUCUGAUUCCUAACCUAAUAAUUCAAGUCUUUACCUAAAAAUCUUAAAUUGUUACAGCACAGGGUAGGAAAUCUUCUGAAGGAGGCACCGGUCAGGUAUGAUUCUUUAGAUUUCUUCAGGAUUUUGGUCCUAACUUACCUGAUUUAUUCUUUUGUUCAAAUGUGCAGUUUGUCUCUUAAAAGUUAAAAGAUGAGAUUUUUACAAUGAAUUUUUCUUCGAUGUGUAAUCUUGAUGAACUUUGCCCCUGCAUCAGACAUUUUGCUUCCCUCUAAUUUUGUAACUUUUGUAAUACAUUCUUGUUUGUUUCCCUCAAACAAAUGAGAAUGUUUGGAUGUGGUAGUUGUAUUGUUAUCAAGCCAGUUGGAGAAAAAAAGGAUGUUUACGAGGGGUUGGUCUGAGGAUCAAAUUAAAUCAACACUCAGGAACAAUCCUACAUGUAUGAAGGCCCCUGAGAAGAAAAUUCUGUUAUGAUUCAUCAAUUGUUAUAGCUUGAAGGAGAAGAUUAUCCCAAAGUGACCUGUUAUCAGAAUUUUAGACCCUGAAUGUCUGUUUAAGGAAAAGAUCUCUUCAGCUAUGGUAGACGAGUAAUUUUUAGAGAAGUUUGUAAGAAAGUAUGAGCAAGAAGUUCCUUAACCAAUGGAGGUAUUCCAAGAUCGGUUAAAUUAGCAACAGCUACUUCAGAACUGAAGGAUCUCAUGAGAUGACUGCGCAGUACCGUGUACAGUCUGGAUAUCGCUGAAUGGCCAGCUCAAUAAGCUUUCGUACUGGGACUAAGCUAUUUGCAAUCAGCCAGAGUUCCACACCCUGCAGCAUCAACAUAAUUGUCAUUGCUGAUAGGAGAACUGGGUGUCUUCGUGGACAGGCUGUUGCUAACCUGUUCAUGAAUGUUUUGUGAAAGUGCCCAACUGGUGUUCAUAAAUGUUCUUGUGAAAGUGCCCAACUGGUGUUUCCCCUGUUCAUGAAUGUAUUUGUGAAGGUGCCUAACAGGUGUUUGUAAAUUUGCCUAACUGGUGGUUGUGAAUGUUUAUGGUUCAAUAUAAGAAUGAUCUGGUGUUGAAUUAUUUAGAUGACUUCGAUCCACAUUCGCCCUAGAUGGGCUUAUCCAUUUCAUGGUUUUUUUCUAGUAGCUUAUGCGUGAAGUGCAUCAAUGUAUUAGUUAUGUGGAAUGCAUAUGCCAUUUCUGAUGCGGGUUGUAUUGUUGUGAUUAGAAGAAGCUUAGGUAGUCUGCUUAGUAAGUUAUUGUACAAUAAUGGUUAGUUUAGUAAGGCCCUUGUUGUCAGGUUAUUUAACUGUACUUUCUUUAUGCAGUUCUGUCGAUACCUUUUUAAUUGUGAAAAAUUGGUAAUAUUUAGUUGGAGUACACUGAUGCGAAGAGAGCCUCCUGCAAGCUGCUUGUAAAGAUCCUGUUGGAGCCCUUGGCUUCUGAAUUAAAUGCAACAAAUGGGCAUCGUAGUUUGAUUGCUAUUGAGGCAAAUAACUGUCUUCAUGCCUUUCACAACAGUUUUGAGGCCAUAAUUUGAGCUUGCAAAUGUGAGUUUGACUCUUCAAACUUGCACUAAAUGAGGUGAUUUGGAGUUGUUUAGGAAUGUUGCGGAUAAGUUUGCAAGUACUUUCAGCUCAGCAGGACUCCCAAUCUGAUUGUGAGGCUCCAACAUCAUCAGGACUGGGCUCCGCAAUAUAAGCAUUUCUUUCUUAUUCUCACAUUUCGCUUGUUGAUGUUGCUCACAAACUGAGGUUGAACUCAGCGGACCCUGUGGCGGAUGCUGAGAACUUUGUAGCCAACACAAUCCAAGAUGGUGCAUUGAUGCAACUUUGCACCAUGCAAAUGGGUGGAUGGCAUCGAAGGAGAUUGGGGAUGUUUACUCCACAAAUGAACAUCAAUCUGCUUUCAACUCGAGAAUUGCGUUCUGUCUCAAUAUGCAUAACGAGGCUGUGCGUGCACUGCGAUUCCCUCAAAAUUCACAUAAGAAGGAAAACGAAAUCACAGAAAACAGGAGGGAGACACACAAACCGGAGCAGCUUGCAAAGCAUAUUGACGGGGAGGAUGAAGAUGAGUUUUAAUUCUCAGCUGCUUUUGUCAAGUUGUUAACUAGACAAUACCUUUCCUUGUGUUUGUAAUACUGGUCUCGAUAUGUUUUAAAAGAAAAUAAAAAUGAUAUAAUCACUUUUC